rnacentral:tRNA from 1 species
GGGCCCAUAGUCUAGUGGCUAUGACGUCACCUCGACACGGUGGAGGUCGAGAGUUCGAUUCUCUCUGGGCCCA